UUACAUUGUUAUUGAUAUGUAUUAUUUUGUUGGACAAAUCUCUACUAUAAUGCACCAAUCAAAAUUAUACUAGAUCCCCCAAAUAAAAUGUCCCCCACUGAGAAGUUUCAACCAUCGUGCACCCAGAAAAAUGUACACAGAAAUCUACCUCUAUUAAAAUCAAGGGUUAAUAAACACCUACACCAAAAUUGAUGGCCAGGAUUGAAUGUUUGAAGCCAGGCUUCUCACCCGCGCCCUCCCUCCCACACAUGAGGGCUUCAAACACGCGACACCACCCAACGCAUCCAGCGUUCGAUUCGCUGUUGCGCCCGCAUUUAAUUUUUAAUUUUCAUCCGAAAAGAAUUCUCGGGCGCCUUCAUCCUGUGCCGCCGGCUCCAUCUCGCGCUGCUCUUUCGCCAGUGCUGCGACUCGUCCCUCCUCCACCUUCCAACAACCGCGACUCAUCGGAUUCCCAAAUCCUAAUCCCAAGUAAGACCUCUCCUCGACCACGGCUCCGGUCGCGCCUGCCCUGGCGCGCCGCAAAUGGCAAAGGGCACGUUCAUCUGGGUGUGGAUGCAGCCGUGGGAAGGUUUGCGGCAGAGAUCCGUCACUCCACACGAACUUCGAUAGCACCGAGGCCGCCACGAUGGCCUAUGAACAGGCGGCCGUAUCCAUCUAGGGCUCGUCGCCACACUCAACUUCCCCAUGGAAUACGCACAGGAAUCUCUCCGAGCGCAAGCGUUGCGCGGCGUCGGCGCGGCUGGUGGCUCCGCGGGAUGCUCGCCCUGGCACUCAAGUCACAAGAAUUUUAAGCUUCUAGCGGCGAUGGGCUUGGCCAGGAUGGCACGAGGGGCGGUUGCGCGAUGCUCGUGGCCAGCAGAGGCGGUAUUGUCCUGUCGGCUCGCUGGCCGAGGACGAGCGGAGGGAAGAGCAGCGGCUGCAGCUCCAUGGCACGGUGGCUGACGAAACGUGGUGAUUGGCCUUUGCUCACGCUGGGCGCACAUGACAAAGGUGACCAAGGAAAAGAAGCGGCGUCAAUGUCGGACUAGCUCAAUGAUACCUUGUGCGACCUCCGGUAAGAAACGGUUCUUGACAUGGGUGUAGCCUGCCAAAUGUUUGAGAAAAUGCCUACAUACAGGGUAACACGGUCAAUGAAAAGUAGACAUGUGCUCUGAUUCAUGAAACAUCAUGCAAAUUUGCUGAGAAUAUUUAGAAUCUACGCCUUUAGAAAUAUGCAACUGAUGUUCACAAACAUUUCAGAUCAGGCCUAUUGACAUUUUCUUACUACGUAAUGUUUACUUCAUUUCAAACAUUAAUCUACUGAAAUGUGCGAAGAUUUAAAAAAUUAGUUACUAGAUGUUUCUUGGGUACAAUUGAUUUUUUUUUGGCAUUGUAACUUUAAAAUUCUCUUAUUAAGGAACAAAGCACGGCAGGGUCUAAUCCUUUAUUUGCUGUGACAGAUUAUUAGUCACUACAACUUAAGGAAGAUCUCUUUGUUUUUAAAUCCUCAUUUAUCCAUUCAAUUUGCCUGCUGCGUGCCGAUAUAAUUUCAUAUAGUGGCAUCAACAAACACAAGUACGCUUGGAUUGAGGAGGCAUCACCAACAUAGAACAAGAAGGAUCUCUACUUGGGCACCUUCUGGGCCAAUGUGUCUGGUGGUAGGGAUUUCUAUUUGAAGGAUGCAUUGCAGAGUGGAGUGGCAGCAUGCCCGAAGAAAGCCCUGUCCGGUGUCUCGGCCAUAAACUAUUGUUUAUACUAACUGUGGUUUAUGAACUUUAGUACCCUUCUUAGUAGUGUUGUGUGGGCCUGUCUAUUUUUUCUAUAUGAAGUGACUAAUUUCUGCGAGACUGAAUUUGUAUUUUUUUCAUUAGUUGAUUUAUUGUUCUGUUUUAUGAUUUAUUUUAGUUUUGCAAUAUACUAUUGUGUAAAGUUGAACUGUGGAAAAAUUUAUUGUUUGAUUGUUUAUA